GUACACUCCUGCGGGAGGCAGCAGUGGGGAAUAUUGGACAAUGGGCGCAAGCCUGAUCCAGCCAUGCCGCGUGAGUGAUGAAGGCCCUAGGGUUGUAAAGCUCUUUCACCGGUGAAGAUAAUGACGGUAACCGGAGAAGAAGCCCCGGCUAACUUCGUGCCAGCAGCCGCGGUAAUACGAAGGGGGCUAGCGUUGUUCGGAUUUACUGGGCGUAAAGCGCACGUAGGCGGACUAUUAAGUCAGGGGUGAAAUCCCGGGGCUCAACCCCGGAACUGCCUUUGAUACUGGUAGUCUUGAGUUCGAGAGAGGUGAGUGGAAUUCCGAGUGUAGAGGUGAAAUUCGUAGAUAUUCGGAGGAACACCAGUGGCGAAGGCGGCUCACUGGCUCGAUACUGACGCUGAGGUGCGAAAGCGUGGGGAGCAAACAGGAUUAGAUACCCUUGUAGUCCCA
rnacentral:rRNA from 1 species